GUUCUGGAAGGUUUGGAAGACCUCAGUGCUCCAGGCCAGCAGGGGGUGGGGGAUCAGGGGUGGGGGUCUCUCUGGAACCUGAUUUAGAAGCUUAGAAGCAUCUUACUUACCCAGAGCAACUCCCCUUCCCUCCUAGCUGUGCCCCGCCCUGACCCCCAGAGGAGCCUGGGCCUGCGGUCCUAGGGGAUAAGAAGGGCUCUGCAUGGAGGACAUUGGUCCUGCUGAGGCUUCCAGAGGCCCGGCGGGACGGGUGUCUGCACUGUUUUCCAGGACCCCUCCUGAGGGCUGCAAAAAGCUUCCAGGCCUCCAUGUUGAUGGCAGAGCAGGCAAGGCAGCUCACCCUUCACCCUGCUGACUUCUGUGCACAUUUGGGGCCACGUUUUCAACAGCUCCGGCACUGGAGCCAAGAUAAAGUCAGCCUAAGGUUUCCACCUCUGUGGGUAUCCUGCCUCCCUGGGCCUGGCCCUCAGGGCCUGCCUCAAACCCUCACCCACCCAGCCCUGCACUCAUGGGGACCUAGGCACCCUCCUGGGUGGGAGGUGGUGCGCACGGGGUUGGGACGGGGUCAGGACAGGGUUGUGUGUGAACAGCCGCCCUGGUGGAUUCAUCCCAGGCUGUAAAUGAGGGGUAGGUGUAGAAAGGCCCACACUGGGAAGGGAAAUGUUUCCCCCCUCCUUCUUCUCCUAGGGGCCUGAACUCACCUCCUCAGCCCCUGAGACUCACCCAGAACCUCAUCAGGAGACCAGCUAACAGAACGAUGAGAACAGUUGGAGGAUCUUCUAAAGCCUUUCUCUUGCCUCAUAGUUUAUUUCCUUGCAGAAUCCAGCCCCUCAGAUGCAGCUGAUGUCUUAGCCACCACACACAGCAACCUUUUUUGUCUUCACAGUUGUCUCUGAAGCAGCUUCCAACUAAAUAAAAGCAGCUUUGUAAAGGACACA
rnacentral:lncRNA from 1 species